rnacentral:lncRNA from 1 species
GGGGGUGCUUGGGGCUUUCAGUAAUCUGCGAAGACCGAGGGGAUGCUUCAGUUCUCCAAGUCCCUCCCUCUAGUGAUCUUCGUAAGGGAACUAGUGCAGAUUAAUGCUUCCCGGCGCCUGAUUUUCUUGUGACUUGGUGGUUUGACUCGGUUGCCACAUGUUUGGGGAAUAAUUGUCAAUAAGCCCUCCAGUGCUGCUUUAUUGUUUUGUCUCUUUCUGCACAAGGAUCUAAAAUGGUGACAUUAUAUCAAAUACAGGAACAUUCUCUUAAUUUCCUAAGCUUCACGCCCCCUUCCUAUCAAAUGCCAAAAUUCAGGCCCCUUACUAUGGGUGCUACUAAUUAUUCUUGUACUACUUAACAUGGUUUGAGGUCUAACUGUGUAGAACUCCUUAUCCAGGUACUUUCAGGCUCUCUGUUGCCGCAGUGGACUACAAUUCUUACAGAGAAUUGGCGUCUGGCGAUCAACUUUUUUCCUGCAGUCCUCUUGUCUUUGUGUGUGAGUUCCCGCUGUCUGGCUGGGAAGAUUGCGGGAGUGUGCUUGGAAAUGGCUGGGGCCUGCUAUGACUCUGCAGUUCUGAUGGGGGCGACGCCUUCCUUCUUAUUCAUGGAAUGUUAGAAUGCACGUUUUCUCCUUU